ACUUGACUUCUUGUAGUUUUGUGACUACACAGUUUCCUCACCUGAGCGUGACGAUGAUGGCGGAGGGCUGCGCGCAGGCGGUGAUGAGGGUGACGAUGAAGAGGAAGACGAGGAAGGGGACGAGCGUGUUGCACGUGCGGUCGCACUUCCCCGAGGCGGCGAAGCCGUUCUCGUUCAGCGCUGGCAUCUAAGCAGGAAAGGAGGGUCUCCACAUUCCUCGGGAGGACGAGGAUGCCGGAGCAGCCACGCUGACCGUCCCAGCCAGCUUGACAAAUAGCAACUUUAUUAGCAGUCAUUCAUUCCAAUAAUAUUUUGCGACUCUCGUGUCGGCAAGGAAACCGGAAAAGGGCGAUAAAUCUCAUUUCAUCAAUGUUAUUUUUUUUUUUUUCUUUAUAUUUUAAAUUACAGUACACAGUACAAAUAGUUGACAAAUAUUUGUUUUUUAAUCUAAAAUGAUUUUAAUAUUUAACAUUUUAAUUUGAUAACAUUUUUGUAUUGUUGCUAAUUGUGUAUUUUUACCAAAUAUUUGGUAUUUUGACCCAUCUUGUCAUAUCUAUUUAUUUUUUAAAUAUUGAGGUAUUUUUCUUCUAAUGUUUUUGUAUAAUAUUUUGGUGUUCUCUAAUAUUUUUGUAUUGUUGCUCAUAUUUGCGUAUUUAUAUCUAAUGUUUCUAUAGUUGUCAUAUUUGAUCUAUUUGUAAUAUUCAAUUUUUUUUCUA